CCUCCAUUUCUUGGCGGGGUCCGGGUGAGCAGUCCCGGUCCCCAUAAUGUUCAGAGGUAGAGGGAAGGGGCUCCGGCUUCCCCGGCAUUAUGUCUUUGGUGCCGGUGGUCACCCAUCCGCCGGUUCUAUCCUCACUCGCCGGGACAAAC